UACGGAGGGGGCAAGCGUUGUUCGGAAUUACUGGGCGUAAAGGGCUCGUAGGUGGUCAACUACGUCAGACGUGAAAUCCCUCGGCUUAACCGGGGAACUGCGUCUGAUACUGGAUGGCUUGAGUUUGGGAGAGGGACGCGGAAUUCCAGGUGUAGCGGUGAAAUGCGUAGAUAUCUGGAGGAACACCGGUGGCGAAGGCGGCGUCCUGGGCCAACACUGACACUGAGGAGCGAAAGCCAGGGGAGCAAACGGG
rnacentral:rRNA from 1 species